AUUGCGCAGUCAAUUAUUUGUAAGCAGACUGACUAGUCGGUGGUACUACAUAUGGAGCACGUGAAUGUGCAUCAAUGCAAUGUAUGUAGUACCGAUUCACCAACAAAAUAAUAUCGAGAUCCGUAAUAUACUCAUGUGAUAACAUGUGUGUGCAGUUAUCUAAAUGUCUUCCAUUUAGAUAGGUUGGCAGAAUCCCACAGACAGCUUAAAAUCUCAAAGCAUUGAUAACAAGACACAUACUAUCAUCAUCUAUCAAUGAACAUGUUUAAAUCCAAAAAAUAUGUACAGCAAAAGAAAUGGUUUGGGCACUAUGGCGUAGGACGACUCAGAAGUACCAUAUGUAUGUAUGUGUGUACAUAAGUACAUAUGUAUCUACAACAGCUGCACGGUACUUCGUUCUAUUCGGAUACCGCCAAAUCGAGGCCAUAACUGCAUCUACUUCUUUAGCUCGGUGUCCGCAAAUGUCAA